rnacentral:rRNA from 1 species
GACGAACGCUGGCGGCGUGCCUAAAACAUGCAAGUCGAACGAGGUCCAUCCCAUGGCAACCUGGGUGAAGACCUAGUGGCGAACGGGUGAGUAACACAUGAGGAACCUGCCCCGAAGACCGGGAUAACCCUCCGAAAGGAGAGCUAAUACCGGAUACCCCCACCAGAUCGCAUGGUCAGGUGAGGAAAUGCAUUGUGCUUCGGGAGGGCCUCGCGGCCUAUCAGCGUGUUGGUGGGGUAACGGCCCACCAAGGCGUCGACGGGUAGCUGGUCUGAGAGGACGAUCAGCCACACUGGGACUGAGGCACGGCCCAGACGCCUACGGGAGGCAGCAGUUAGGAAUCUUGCGCAAUGGGCGAAAGCCUGACGCAGCAACGCCGCGUGGGGGAUGAAGGCCCUCGGGUUGUAAACCCCUUUCAGUCGGGACGAAAAUGACGGUACCGACAGAAGAAGCCCCGGCCAACUACGUGCCAGCCGCCGCCGUAAAAC